UACGUAGGGGGGCAAGCGUUGUCCGGAUUUAUUGGGCGUAAAGAGCGUGUAGGCGGCCAGACAGGUCCGUUGUGAAAACUCGAGGCUCAACCUCGAGACGCCGAUGGAAACCGUCUGGCUAGAGUCCGGAAGAGGAGAGUGGAAUUCCUGGUGUAGCGGUGAAAUGCGCAGAUAUCAGGAAGAACACCCGUGGCUAAGGCGGCUCUCUAGUACGGUACUGACGCUGAGACGCGAAAGCUGGGGAGCGAACAGG
rnacentral:rRNA from 1 species